AUUACUGUGUCCAGGCUGUUGAUCUAGAUCCUGGGAAUAGAGCAGAGAGCAACAAACACAACGAAAUUGUCUUGAAAAUUAAAUUAUAUCAUAUGCUAGAUCAAUGCUACAUAAAAGAAUAAUAACACAAGGGAUCAGAGAGUCUGUGUGUGUGUGUGUGUGUGUAGACAGUGGGUGGUUCUGGAAAUGUCAAAGCCUUGCACCAGGGCAGUUGUGGAAGAGAUGGAAAGGAGGGAUUGAAUUCAUGGCAUAUUUAAGAUUAAAAACAAAACAAAAACAAAAACAGGAGGACUCAGUAAAUGAUAGGAUGUGAAGUCUGAAAAAGAGGGAGAAAUUCAGGACGAUGCCUGGGUUCUACUUUAGGGAAGGGCUGGAAGCAAGGGGUGCCACCAACUCAAAUUCCCCAAGAAUAUUUUUUUCACUCUUUCCCACCCAAUCUCUUUCAAACAACUGGGACUACCCAAAGUUAUACCUUAGAACUCAAUCUUGCCGUGUAAAGCUUUGACUCUUGUUGAAAUGUAAAAUACACCAAACUUAAAUAGUGAUCAGUUUACACCUUUGUUCUUGGAUUCUAAAAGUGGGGCCAGUGGAUGGCGCUUCAGGGUAUCUCUGAACUCUGACAUCUCAUGCGUCUCUCUAGGGAAAAGGAGGACAGCUUUCAUCCUGUUCUGUGAGGCAGGUAGGGCUCCACCUCUGUGCAGAUUAGGUGCCUGAGCCCAGGUAAGAGAGUGGUUGGUAACUAGAGACUUGGGGGGAAAGCUGGGGCCCAAGAGGAGGACAGAAGUUGCAAAAGAGUAAGGAGGAGGGAGACGCCAGAAGACCAGCCCUGAGCCCUUCAGCCCCCUGAAAAGGCUUGGGACACAGACAGGAAAGGAUGAUGGGCUGCUCUCUACUGUCCUCCCCCACUGUCUGGCCAAGGACACCUGGGAAAGAAAAGGCAACGUGUUGAACCCUUCACUGAAGUCUCCCCACCAAAGCAUCUGUGGUUUGGGUAUUAGGAAGGACCGGGCUCCACAAAUCGCCCGAGUGGGAGGUGGGACAAAAUGGUUCAGCCCAGAGAUGCUACCGGAAGGUCGAAGGCCGUGGCUGGUCAGACCCUGCUGGGAGAACUCCCCAGGGCAGGCACUGAGCAGCGGGAAGGCAGAACGGGUGGCGGGGCCGCUGACUCCACCAGGUCCUGCCAGGACUCUGGGCAGCCCCAAAGUGAGAGCGUGGUGAGUGUAUUAAGAGCUUAGAGGCUCACCGAGCCCGGGAAACUCCGGUGGCCUGGCCUCAGACCACACGCAUGCGGGCGUUUGCCUCGGAGCCCCUUACCUUUUGGGGGUCUUAGGCGGCAGGGAGGAGGGUCUCCUUCCCGGCCAUCCUAGGAGGUAAGUGGAGAGCGGAGGGUAGACGGGAGGGGAGGGGUAACCUGAUCGUACAGGCCGGAGGUCCUGGAACCAGUGCUGGUAGGGGUGUUAAGCAUCAGACGGUCCCUGGCCGCCAGACCUGGCACCUCGCCCCAAUCACGCAGGUUGGAAAGUCUGCCCCUACUCCGCCCCGCCCCCAUUCAUCUCAAUGACUCCUCCUCCGGGGGUCCUCUUGGCCCCGGGAGUUACUCCCUUGCCUGGGUACUGGACGUGCUCGUCGCUCCAGGAGGAUGGACAGGUGCGGGGACAGACAGAGGGGCAGGUGUUCACCCAGGAACCUCAGGACUCAUUCAUUGUCCCCAACCAUGCAACUCCACCGCCUAUCUUCAAAGCUCUGCGCCAGAGGACUGGGUCCGAGGACGGCGGGCGCAGGCGGGAGGAGUCGGGACCCCAGGUUAUGCAGUGGCCCCGAGACAGUGACCACAGGGAGUGGGAACCCGGGUGCUCGGGGUAGUCCCGGAGGGCUGCGCGCGGGGCGGAGGAGGCCGAGACCACUCCCUCCUACUUCCCCGACGUUAUUUCCUGGGAGGAGCCGGAGCUCGCGGGCGGGAGCGGAGGUUCCCAGACCCGGCUCGGGAGUGCGCGGCGUUGGGGCCGGUGGUCCCCGCGCGCGCGCCAGACGGGUUCCGCCGCGGAGCCGUGGCCCUAGGGCCGCAGGAGGCCUAGUUCGACCUCUAAAGGCGUCCGCGAGCGCGCUCUCACGUCGGCUCGUUGGUCUAGGGGUAUGAUUCUCGCUUCGGGUGCGAGAGGUCCCGGGUUCAAAUCCCGGACGAGCCCGGCUUCGGUUUUGGCGGAGACCCGAGCGCCCCAGGCGCCGGUGGAAGGAACGGCGCGGCGCCGCGCGGGCCGCCCUGCGAAGCCCGUGCAGCUGGCCGGGAGCCUGGAGCUGGGGCGCUGGCGGCUCUUUUGUUCCGAGCGCACAGCCCGGUGGCCGGAGGGAGCUCGCGGCGCGCAGCCCGGCCGGGGAGCCGGCCGGGAGAGCGCAGGCGCGUGCGGACGCGGGGCCCGCCCCUCCCGUUCCCGCCCCGCUCCCGAGCGCUCUGCGCCGGGCCCCGCCGGCCGGCUGGAGCGGUGGGGGACUGGGGUGGAACGGGGCGGGACUAUCGCAGCCGGGUUUCGCCGCGCCUCCGGGUCGCUCAGCGGCGGUCCAGAGCGUGCGCGGGUCUCCGGGGGGCCCUUUCCCGCGGUCGGCGGGACGGAAGCCCCGGCGAGCGCGGCUGAGAUGCCACAUCCCCGAGCGGGAGAGCGGUUCUUCCAGCUCCUUCCUCGUUAGUAUAGUGCGAGAACCACUGCGUUGGCCGGGAAUCGAACCCGGGUCAACUGCUUGGAAGGCAGCUAUGCUCACCACUAUACCACCAACGCCGGCUUGGGACGCGGGGUUCCGACGCUGGGACUUCAAUACAUGCGCAGGCACGUGGCCCGAAUGACGCGAGUCCGUGAACGAGGUGACCCCGGUCGCCCCGCGAGAGACUGCGCUUGACCGCGCGCAGCCGGCACAGGAGAAAGCGGGGUUCAGAGGACCGAAGUGAGGGCGCUGAGUCACUGGCAGAGCCGGGGAAGCAUCUAUUGGUCGGGGUCGGGGGGCGGAGGGAUCAGGACUGCGGCGACACCGCGAUGGCUUUGUCACCCCCAGAAAUAAGUCCCAAGCACACCAGUUGCUCCUCUGUUGAGCGAGCUCCGUGUGUCCCAAGGUUGAAGAGUUGGGCUUUACGCCAAGGGCCCUUAAGCACAUUUUGCCCACAGAGGGAGGGUCCAUUCCCACCUGUCCGCGCGCAGCUCUGAAAGUGACGCGGGCGGAACCUCGGGGGAGGGGCCUGAGGAUUUAGCUCCGCCCCUCGUCGCUGACGGUAGCUCUGUUCACGGGAUCCCGGCGGCCGCGGACUCGGGAAGGCCUCGUGGCGCAACGGUAGCGCGUCUGACUCCAGAUCAGAAGGUUGCGUGUUCAAAUCACGUCGGGGUCACGAAAGGUUGUAAUUUUCGAUGUCCAGAUCUGCGUUGGUAUUUUUCGGGCAAAGAGGGAAAAAAAAAAUUCGUUUCUUUAUAUUAGAAAAAUACAAACCUCAGUGCCCCUGUCGUUCCGCUUUUCCCAAAGUGUAUGAAUUUUCUCCUAAAAUACAAGUUUAGGAAUUUGUUUUUCAAAUUUAGGAAUUUCUAUUGCAUCUUUAAUGUUUCUGUCAGAUCAACCAAUAGUGACGCCUUUAAUCUCAUAGAUAUUUUAGGUAUCCUAGCGCAAAUCGUUCACGAGCAGCUCCGAGUUCUUGUUCAGAAAAUGUAUUUGGAGCAAUAAAGAUUGUUUAUUGGAAAGGGUGGAGCAAGAAUUGAUCAUUAUUAUACGUAGCAACUGAUGAAUUAAUUAAAUACAAAUGUUCUCCAGACUUCUCAAAUGUCACUAGAAGCCUGGAGCCGCGUGCAUUUUUGCUGCUUCCAGCCCAGGAGCUCCGGCCACCUGACUCGGCGGAAGGCAUGUGAUGGGGACGGCAGGCAGCCCAGCCCCCCAUCACAGCCCCACCCUAAGCAGAGCACCUUUUAGGAGAUCCAAAAUGACAUGCACUCCCCCUUUGCCACGCUCCCCAUCACUGAAGCUGAGCUCCUUCAUACACCAAUUUAGGGUCCAUCCAGAAAACCUGGUCUUCGGAAAAAGCCUGGAUUUUUUGGCAGAAACAGCCAAGAUGAAGUUACAAACCCAAAUCCCAAAACAGAUGAAGAAAUUUCAUGGUGAGAGCAUAAUUGGAACAGAGACAGUCAUGGGAACAUAAAGGAAAAGAAGUCUAUGGAAUGAUCUGACAAAGAAUUUUAUGUAAGUAUGAUUAUGAUACAUGAAAAGAUAAGUAACAAAAUCAAAUCAUGAGACAAAAAGACAAAAAUUCAAUAAAAGCAUAUGGAUAUGCAAUCGACCAAUUAGAAAUCUUACACAUGAAUGACAGAUGUAAACAAAGAAGUCUGUCUUACAUUCUAAACUGGGUACAACAGGAGAGAGAAAGUUCGCUAUUUUAAAAAGAGAACUCAGGAAUUUACCCAAGACACAGAACAGAGGGACAAGAAAUGUUAAAAGCACAGAAAAGAGGGACGCCUGGCUCAGUCACUGGAGCAUGUGACUUUUGAUCUCGGGUUUGUGAGUUCCAGCCCCACCUUGGGUGUAGAGAUCACUUAAAAAUAAAAUCUUUAAAAUAAA